UACGGGGGGGGCAAGCGUUGUUCGGAAUUACUGGGCGUAAAGGGCUCGUAGGCGGCCAACUAAGUCGGACGUGAAAUCCCUCGGCUUAACUGGGGAACUGCGUCCGAUACUGGAUGGCUUGAGUUCGGGAGAGGGAUGUGGAAUUCCAGGUGUAGCGGUGAAAUGCGUAGAUAUCUGGAGGAACACCGGUGGCGAAGGCGGCAUCCUGGACCGACACUGACGCUGAUGCGCGAAAGCCAGGGGAGCGAACGGG
rnacentral:rRNA from 1 species